rnacentral:rRNA from 1 species
UACGGGGGGUGCGAGCGUUAAUCGGAAUUACUGGGCGUAAAGCGUGCGCAGGCGGUGAUGUAAGACCGAUGUGAAAUCCCCGGGCUUAACCUGGGAACUGCAUUGGUGACUGCAUCGCUCGAGUAUGGCAGAGGGGGGUAGAAUUCCACGUGUAGCAGUGAAAUGCGUAGAGAUGUGGAGGAAUACCGAUGGCGAAGGCAGCCCCCUGGGUCAAUACUGACGCUCAUGCACGAAAGCGUGGGGAGCAAACAGG